GUUCCUUGGACCUGUGUGGAUUUUUGUGGAAUAUUUGUUUUGGAAUAUAUUACCCCAGUGAAGAAAGGGAUGCGUCUAAAGCUCCACAGGCUACCCUGACCACUUCAACUCUCUGGACCAGCCUGAUUUCUAGCUGGAGUCUCAUCACUUGUAGAUCGUUCUCUGCUGUUGAGGAUGGACCACAUGGACAGCCUGCAGAGCAACCUCUGGACACAAAGGACGGCGCGCUGUAAGCCUGUCUCAAGCUGCCAGCCUCCUGGGUUUUGCCUCAACCCUGCACUGCAUUUGGGCACCUGCACCACUUCAUGCACUCCAUGCAUCCGCCCCACUGUUUCAUCGCACCGUAAAACCUUCACUUAACAAAGAUUCUUCUUUAAAUUUUUCGCUCACUAAAACACACUGUGAUUAAAUUUGCACCAAAGUCCACAAUCCCUGACCUCUUCCGUGUUGUGUUCAUCCCUCUCGCAGGCUGAGUCGUGACAAAGGUUAGAGAUUGUUUGAAGGUGUGUGUGGGAGUUGACCUGACACUCAUUAGGGAUCUAAAUCCAUUUCUGGACCAGGAACCAGAUUUCUUUUGCUGCUCUAUAACAUUAUGCAUUGUUAAAACUGUUAAAUAAAUACAUGUGAAUGAAACAUCUACUAUGUAUGACCUACUGUGGUGUUAAUGAUGUAGCUGGGAAUAAUGCAGUGUAACAACCUAUUUUCACAGGUAAUGCAUCAAAAGGUUUGUUGGCUAAUUAUACAGUGUGUGUUAUAUUUUUUCUUAUAAAUGUUUGUGCAUGUGUGUGCGUGUGUGUGUGUGUGUGUGUGUGUGUGUGUGUGUGUGUGUGUGUGUGUGUGUGUGUGUGUGUGUGUGUGUGUGGUUUAAGGGUUGGACAUAUUAGACAUUACAUAUCUGAUGAGUGCAACUCAUCACUGACAGACAAACAAGAUAUAUGAUAGCUGAAAUCUAUUAUAUUGAGUUCCAGGUUCUUACUGAUACUGAUGUGCUACGUGCGCAUCUGCUGGGAUUGUGUAAAUCUCCUUGUUUGCUCCAGGCUAAAAUGUGUUCCAGUGUGAUUACUUUUCUCAAUAGUGUCACAGUAGGAACAUUUUUAUUAUUAUAGUAGUAGUAUAUGUUAUUAAUAUUAUUAGUAUUAUUAUAGAGGCAAGGGGUUUCCUGGUGGUUCAGUUGCAGGCUCCUGUGCUUUCACCGAUUGGGCCGAUUCCGUCGAUUCCCCAUCGCUGGGCAGGGAACCGACUUAGCCACUAAAGGGUUAACACUCAGUGCAGUUCCCAAACCCAGAUAAAAUGGGAGUGUUGAGUCAGGAAGGGCAUCCUGUGUAAAACGUCUUCCAAAAUAAAAAUAUCCGAAUCAGAGUCUCCGCUGUGGCGACCCUGAACAGGGACCACACAAAGGACAACAGCAGCAUUAUUACAGAGGUGCAAGGUGCAUAGUUCUCGAUAAGUAGUUUGUUAUUACAUAAGUCAAGCACAUAAAAAAGAUAUAGUGUAUAUUGUUUUCCUCAGAUGCAGCUAUAACAAACAAUAAGAUGGAUAAAAUGAAGGUCUGCAGCUCCACUGUGCCUUUCACAGACCUGUUCCCAUGUAUACAUUGUGGCAGAGAUAUAUUGUUGUGUUAUUAACUGUGUGCUUGACUUUUUCUUUGAUAACCGAAAAGGAAAUAAAGGUUAAGCAAUCCUUCUUUUAGAUAUUUUCUUCAUCUUGAUUUCUGGCAUUGUUUAAGGUUAAAACAAGUCUUUUGCAUAAUGAAUUAAUGAUGCAUGCUGAAUACCGUUCUGUUAUUGUUUCUACAAAUUCCAUGGGCUUAUUUUAUAUUGUACUUAUUUUAUCUUAGAAUAUAUUUCCAGAGCGUAUAUAUAUGUAAAUAUAUACAUAUAUAAAUAUAUAAAGUUUGCAUUAAAUAAUUAAACAUUAAAUAGUCUCAAGCUUUCACAGAAGUGCGAAUUAUGGUAAAAGUGAAGGAGUACCUAUCUACUGCAUCGCUCUGUGUGUGUGUGUGUGUGUGUGUGUGUGUGUGUGUGUGUGUGUGUGUGUGUGUGUGUGUGUGUGUGUGUGUGUGAGAGAGAGAGAGAGAGAGAGAGAGAGAGAGAGAGAAUAAUUCAUACACUUAUCUUGUGUACUAGAUCUGGUUUUCUUCUUCUUUUCUGCCACCUAGAUGAAAAAUAAACCAUCAAACUUGCAUCAAGCUUGAAAAACACCAUUCUGCUGAAUGUGGCAUUUCUUUCAACGGGUGGCAGAAAGUUUUGUUCAAAAGAUGAACAAAUGCCAAGUUAAAGCCCAGACUAUGCAAUGUGCUAAACUGUAUUAUUAUUCUAUAAUCUUGGGUUUUGGAGUUGUUUUUGUUCUUGAAUUUCAUGAUCUAUUUCAAUGAAAGGUAAUUUUAUUUACAUACGCACAGGAGUGUAGGAGUUGAAAAAGUGUCCAAAAGUGUCCAUCAUCAGCAGUUUUCUGAUGAUCAUUAAUGGUUUUUUUAAUGUUUGGUUGCACCACGUCUGAUUUGGUGAUUUCAUCUGUGUUAAAAUUAAAAUUUUGCAUGUUACACAUUAUUCUGGCAGUGAUUCCUUACCUACAGACUGUAUAAACAUAUUCAUUUUCUGCUUAGCUUUAACUAAAAUCUAUA